UCGACUCGUAAUAUCCCGGAGUCGACUCGAGUCUCAGACUUUGGUUCAAACUGACUUCUUAACUUAUCCAAAAUAUCUUUAACCAAGUCUAGAAACACUUAGACAAGAUUUUCACUGAAACACUCAAUUGAAUUCAUUAGUAAACAAAAGAUAUACUCAAUUGUUUGAGCUCAUCAAAAUCAAAUAGGGUUUUAAUCAAUCACUCCACAAUCUCCCCCUUUUUGAUGAUGACAAAACAUUGAGUAUAUGUAAAGUGAAUUGCUCAAUAAACAAGGAAAU
rnacentral:lncRNA from 1 species